UAGAGAUUUAAGCACUUAUGUACGUCGCUCUGGAUAAGGGGUCUGCCAAAUGCUGUAAACGUAAAUGUUCGUUUGCGCAUGCGGGUCAGUUCGAAACCGCAAACUGUUCACACUGGUAUCUGAUAUAGGUCAGAUUUUAAAUGGUAAUGUAUAAUCGGUGUGCGUUGUGAUGUGUGUUUAAUCGGUGUGUGUGUUGUAAUGUUGUGUAUGUAACCCAGUUAAAAAAUGUUAGUUUAAUUCUUAAAUAUAUAAAAAUAUGAUUUUUAUUUGUUAUUAUUUAUUAUUUUAACUUUAAGACCAGUAAUAUAUUUCACUGUGAUGCUUUGUCCCGUGUUAUUUUCAUUUUAAACCAAUCAUAUAGUGAUCUAACACUUUGUCCCGCCUUCUGGCGUUGCUGAUUGGUUAGAUGAGUUUUGUGAGCAGCGGUGUAGGCUGAUACUGCACAGAUGGAGCAUGUUUCAUUGCACCGACAGGUUUAAGAGAGACAAAGCUGGAUUAUAUUGAUGUUAUUGAGAUUUCUGGUGAACCAAGUUUCAUGUUUAUCUUGUUAUCAAAGGAGGAAAUAUUAAACUUGGAAGCAAAUGGUAUGGGCCAAUGUUGGGAAUCUAUGUAUAUUAUUCCUUAGUUCUUAUGUAUGUGGAUGCAUGUUUUCUUGCAUUUCAUAUUUUCAUUUCACUGUAAAAAAAAAAAAACAGUAUUAUGGGUUUUUUUUAAACUUAUUCAAUGUCCUGCAGCUCAGUAUAUAUUUAAGUCAUUAAUGGUCAUACAUACAGUAUUUCUCGGUUUAUUUGAAUGUGAUUAGGCCCAAUAGUAAUGUAAAUGAGGUUUAAAUGAAUGCUCUACAACUGUUUUGUACAAACACCUGUUUUGUAAAUGCAGGUCAGGUCUUUUGUAGAGGUGUGUUCAGCACAGAGAUUUGGAUGGUGAACCAGCUGGCGAGCCACCCAGUUUGAUGAGGAAUCUAUCGUAUCCAGGAGGAGACAAGGUUUUCCUUAAAGAUCCAAUUUUGAGACCUAUCAAUGGAACUGCAGUGUUUGGUAUGACUGUUACCUACACAAGUCCAUCUCAAGUCUAUUUGGAAGGAUAUUGAGGACAAAGGAAUUCAAUUCUCAUAUUGACUAUUUUGAUACACACACACACUGAUAAACAUAAACACACAUUCAAUUGUUUUUUUGCCGGCUAAUGUUUUGUGAUUUGUACUGUUUUGUUAGCUCACUAAAGUGAAUCUAUUUGUUGUGUUGCUUUGUCUUACUUGAACUCCAAUGAACCUAGCAGCGGUGUAUUUUUCCCGUAGAUGGGUUACAUGUAUUUUUAUUAUCUGUGUGUUUGUAUAAUCUGUGGUGUGAUGUGUGUGAGUAUUGUGAUGUGAGUGUGAGUAUUUGUUCUCUUGUGCAUAAUUUUAAUGUCCGUUUAUAAAUAGAGCAGCCCCUAAGCUGCUAUUACUCAUUCUCUCGCCAUACGAGUCACACGAGGCAAGUGCGAGUUAGCCGCAUGCAAAGGUGAAACUGCAAAGAAAAGCAAAUAAGAUCCAUGAAAAGAAGGCGGAAGCAGAUAAGCAGCGUCAAAAGGUGGCAUUCCUGUGGAGUAAAGCGGGUGACUUGCUUGCAGAGAAGGUGAAGCUGCUGUGUGAUGUGGAUACGCAGCGUAUAGAAGAGGAGCGACUGCUAAGUACAGCGGAUACGCUGUGUUUAAAUGAGCAGCGGCUGCGGAAUGAAGGGGAAACUCUGUGUGUAGAUUUUGUGGUGCUGCGGUUUCAAGCGUGUAUGAAGAAGAAAAAGGAAGAGCAGCUGCUGUGUAAAGUGGAUGAGCUGGAACAAAAGGAGAGGCAGCUGUGGAGUAAAGCGGAUGAGCUGCAUACAGAGGUGGUGCAGCUGCAAAGUAAAGUGAGUGAUGUUGGUUAAGAGGAGGCGCAGCAGCGGAGGCAAGCGGUUUCGCUGCAUGUAGAUGAUUUGCACCUGCUGUGUGAAGAGGAGGCGCAGCAGCGGAGUAAAGCGGUAAAGGUGGCUAGAGCGUAUAAGAAGCAAGUAGAGAAGGAGCAGCUGCUGUAGUAAAGCGGAUGAGCUGCAAAAAGAGAAUUAGCAGCUACAAAGUAAAGUGGGUGAGGUUGAUGAAGAGAAGGAGCAGCUGCUAAGUGAAUGAUGUGUGUGAAGAACAGACGCUGCUGCAGAGUGGUGCGAAUUUGCAGCGUGAAAAGUUGGCGAAGCUGCUGCAUAAAGUGAAUUCGCUGUGUGAAGAACAGGUGAAGCUGCAGCGUGAGAUAGAUGUGGAGCUUGAAAUUGAGGCGGAGCUGCAGAGUCAAGUGAAUGUCCUGUGUGAAAUGGAGGCGAAGCUGUGGCAUGAAGCAGAUAAUCAGCAUAAAGCAUCCUCAAGCGGGUGCGUGGCAAGAUAAACUUAGGCGGUGGUUGUUCUCGGCAUCCUGGUGGAUGUUGCUGGCAGCCACAUGUAUUUUAUACAUCAGUGUGAUCCUGGACGGCGAGGUCAACAUCCACAAGGCCGUGAAGAGCAAGGAUCCCUCCAUUAAAUGGCUGACCAUCUGCUGCGUCAUCUUAGAACUCACCAGCUUGAUGUGCUCUAUUUUAAUUGCCCUUACAGAGCAUUACAUUAUCCAGGAGAUGAAGCCACACGUCACAAUUCUAAUGAAUGUUAUUUUACUUUCCAUUGAUUUGUUUGCAUGCUGUGCUGCUUUAUUUUGACAUAAAUGAACAUUUUUGCUCUAAAUUAAUAUUCAGAAUAAUUUUUAUUGCUAACCCGAAUUGUUGUUGUUCAUUUUAAUUUUGUUGAAU